rnacentral:tRNA from 1 species
GUUAUCUUGGCAGAAUAGUGCAAUUGAUUUAGAAUCUUUAUAUGUAGAUUGGCAUCUAUAGAUAACACUU